rnacentral:rRNA from 1 species
UACGUAGGGUGCGAGCGUUGUCCGGAAUUACUGGGCUUAAAGAGCUCGUAGGUGGUUUGUCGCGUUGUUCGUGAAAACUCACAGCUCAACUGUGGGCGUGCGGGCGAUACGGGCAGACUGGAGUACUGCAGGGGAGACUGGAAUUCCUGGUGUAGCGGUGGAAUGCGCAGAUAUCAGGAGGAACACCGGUGGCGAAGGCGGGUCUCUGGGCAGUAACUGACGCUGAGGAGCGAAAGCGUGGGGAGCGAACAGG